ensembl:snoRNA Small nucleolar RNA SNORD35
UACAAAUGAUGUUUUUUCUCACGAUGGUCUUCCAAGCCCUUCGGGUUUUGACGACGAUGCCUAAUGGCAAUGCUGAUGUAGUCCU